rnacentral:lncRNA from 10 species
GUGGGACCUUCAGCAAGUUCUUGUCUUUGCCUUAGGUUCCUCAUUCAUUAGGAGAGGAUAAUAGUAGUACCUACUCCACAGGACUGUAUGAGGUUUAGAAGAAGCAAUGCCUAUAAAGUCCUGACCCAAUGGCUAGCACAUGGUAUGGGCUUGACAAGUAUUCAUCACUAUUUUUAGAAACUUUCCAGUGGCAAGUGUGUUGAAGACAGUGAGCUUGGAGGAGCCACCAUAGUGUAAGAUGAAACUGAAGACAAGGGGCAGGGGUCUGAGAAGAGAGCUGUGAACCACAGUACUUACAAAAGAAAAUGAUUUGAGGUGAGGCUCACUGAAAGAAGGGUGUUGGACAAAGUCAGUUAAAAAGGCUUGCCUCAACACUUUGGUCAAUGACAGGUUUUAUUUUCUUUACACUGCAAAGUGAAUUCUUAUGUUGGUGAGCUUUGUUUUCACCACUAACAUCCAAGCUCCAUAAACAAGGGGACUGUGUUUAGUCUGUUCAUUGCUGCAUACUCAGAGGCUUGUGCACUACCUGAUACAUCAUGAACACUUAGUAUUUGUUGACUGGUAAAGGAAUGGAUGCCUAAAUAUUAGUAAAUUCCUGCACUGCUUGGCUAGGAACUCCA